GUUUUGAAUUACGACAGCUAUAAAGGGAAGUUGGUUGAACUGUUAACAUUUAUGCACUUAACCAUUUUCACGUAGGAACUGCCAACCAAAGGAUCUGAUUGCCCUUCUCUUUUUGAUUUGGGCUUCUUUGAUGAUGAGUGUCAUUGCAGUCCAGUCUGUGAAAAUGGUGACCGCCAACAUGUUGCUGAGUGUCUUCUUUGUUUCAAGUGCUCUGGCUGGUUGUUCUAAAGAGACAUCCCUAUUCAUUACUGCACCAAAGAACAUGGAAGCACUGAAUGGAUCUUGUCUGCUAAUCCCAUGUAACUUUAGUGCUAAACCAGAUCAGGACUUCGACAGCCCAACAACAACCUUUGGAGUGUGGAUUAUAAAUGAUUUACAUUUUAGCGACAAAACAGACAAUGUGAUUUUCAACAGCAGCAGGGUGAAUAAUAUCUAUCCAAUGAAGAUUACCGGAGACCUGAGUCAGAAACAAUGCACCACCUUGUUUUCCAGUUUAAUCACAAGUUACACAGACACAUACUUCUUCAGAAUUGAGAACAGGCCAUUUCUGGCAACAGCUGUUUGUGAUUCUCUUCGAAUUACAGUUAACGGUAAGAGA